UCUAACAUUUUCAUUUCCUCCAAUUGCCCCUCUCAUUGACACAACUCUCUCUCUCGCUCCCCUACCAUUUUCGCUUCCUUUAAACUGCCCCUCCCAUGGACAGUACUUUAUCCAUCCUUUCGGUUGAAACGGGCAACCUCACCAGCAACAAUUUCUCUACCUUAUACACAGGCCCCGCCGUGAACAUUUGUGACACUCGUCGUAACCACCAUUGAGGGAAAGGGCCUCAACGUCGACCUCUGCGAUCGAAUCUGUAGCUUGCACAAGAUAUUCGGCACCGAUCUUCUCCACCAACCGAACAUGGAUCUCGUCGGAAUUCAGUCGGGCGCGAGCCAACAACGCUUGUCCAAUAUUGCUACCGAAACUGCAAGGAGAUCUAGGUAAAAAAUCUAUGCGCGCUGGAGCCCGGACAUGAAUUGGGCCUUCAUGACUGCCUACAAAACAGCCAUAGCGGAGGGACACUAGAACAACAGGUGUCUCACUAAACACGGCUAGGAACGCGUGUCCGUCCUCUUCAACUCCGUCACUGGGCAUAGCUGGAGCAAGCAGCAGUUGCGAAACCAUUGGGACGGAAUGCGACGAACCCACAAAUGUCUGUCGGGGCUUGUGAACACCAGCUAAGUAGAGUACGAUGCAGCCACCGACCACAGUGGUGAAGUCGAAAGCUUAAGGUAACGUCUCACACCUUCAUUGAUUCGGCCCACAAUCCAAUUCAUGAAGAACUAUGUACAUUCAGCCACUUCACUUUACUACCAAACUGCUGCCCUAAACAAACUUUACCGUCUUCCUUUGUUAACUUGAACCACCUCGAAUUGACUGAGAUGAACUGUGUAUUUACCAACUGCAACGAAUAUGAAUUGUUUUCUAAUUUUGAUUGAAAUUCACUGCAAAAUCAUAAUGGGUUGGAAAUUGGUUUCUGUUAAUUAGUGGCUUUUUCUUUCCUUACUGAACAUGGAUUUCAUAAAUUAAUCGGUUGUAUGCUUGUUGCGUUGGAAUGUCACACGCGGUUGACAUGAUCAAAUUGAAUAACGUCAUCGUUAUGUACUAAUUUUUUCUAUUGCUUAUAUCAGUUUCGGACUUCAUAUCGUUGCUAUCUUCAAUUUUUUUAAAUGGCUUACACUAUGAUUUUCGUGUCCCUAUUCGAUGAAUUUGGGGAAGAUCUGUAAUUCUCAAAACUGUAUACGCUUCAACAUAAUGCAAAUAGUAUUCGUUAUUUAUUGGUAAGUCAAAUAUGAAAUUAUGCAUCAACCUACGCACUAAUUUUCCAAAAAAUGGAAAUGCAACCAAAAAAUUGUCAAUUUUUUUUUUUUGGAAAACAAAAAGCUUGUUUCAAUUCUCCUGUCAAAGCACAAUGAGUCGGACAUAGCGUAUCAUGCAUAUUUUGUUGCAUAUUCUCAUAUCUCGCAUUUUAUCUGUCUUUAUGCAUUCCAAAUUCCAGUGCAUACUGAUACUCUAACUCCUCAAACCGUGCUUUGCAAGAGAAUAAGGGGUACAAAGACUUCAAUGACAAGGACAGGAGCGAGAUCUGCAUUCGCUACCGUCAGCUAUUCGAAGACAAGUACGUCGUCACUGCCACUAAAUUAUGCAGAGCGGGAUUCAGCCUAUACGAGGACAGUGUGCUAAAAGAAAAUAGGGAUGUUAUUCCGAUCGACGUCGAGAGCAAUGGUUUGAGCGACGAGGCCGAACCAACAAAUGUUGGGGUACACAAGUGUUAGUAAACAAAAAUCUUCAGACAGUCAACGAAGAGGCCAGAAGAAAAAAGUUUGUCCCUGAACUAUUUUUCUCAAUUGACUGUGCCACGAGUGCUGCGGAGGAAGUGGCGACGAAGAUUAACACGAUGAUGGGCACAAGCAAAAGCGCUGGCACUGCCUGUUCGUACUUCUUGCACAGAAGCGUUACCGGGACAUGCUCACCGUCAUGAAGGACGCGAAUGAGAAAUUUAAGUGGAUUGAGUGGAUGUUUAACAAUCGAGGAAAGUAAUAUACCGGUUGUCGUUUAUUUUUUAUAUUCUGUUAAGUAAUAGUGAAAACUAUCUUCUUUUUUCUAUACUAUCGUCUCAGCAUUGUAAUUUAUGUGUUUUAUUUUUUUCUAUGGUAGUCUAAAC